rnacentral:rRNA from 1 species
AUACGGAGGGUGCAAGCGUUAUCCGGAUUUAUUGGGUUUAAAGGGUGCGUAGGCGGUUUGAUAAGUCAGCGGUGAAAUAUUUCAGCUUAACUGGAAGGGUGCCGUUGAUACUGUCGAGCUUGAAUUUAGUUGCUGUGGGUGGAAUGGGUGGUGUAGCGGUGAAAUGCAUAGAUAUCACACAGAAUAUCGAUUGCGAAGGCAGCUCACAAAGCUAAUAUUGACGCUGAUGCACGAAAGUGUGGGGAUCAAACAGGAUUAGAUACCCUGGUAGUCCACACUGUAAACGAUGAUAACUCGCUGUCGGCGAUACAUAGUCGGUGGCCAAGCGAAAGCGAUAAGUUAUCCACCUGGGGAGUACGACCGCAAGGUUGAAACUCAAAUGAAUUGACGGGG